rnacentral:lncRNA from 1 species
AAGAUCGAUAUCACUCUUACUGGUAACUCUCCCAAUUUCCUCACUUUUACAUUCAUCUUCUGCAUAUAACUAUUAAAGGGUUUUUGUUUUUUUGGGGGUUCUAGGGUUUUGAAUUUAUAGAACACGUGUUCCAAUUUCCUUCUACUCUUACUUCUACAUUCAUUUUCUGCGUAUAACUAUAAAAGGGUUUUUGUUCUUUGGGGGUUCUAGGGUUUUGAAUUUAUAUAAUACGUGUAUCAAAGAAAUGGUGUGUUUUAUUGAGACUUUGUUGAAUGUAAAAAUUGAAUCUUUUUCAGCUAAUGUGGCACUUGAAGGAAUUACGGAUGGACUUUGUUUAAUUUGUUGUCAGGCUCAAGCCCUUAUGUUUGGGGGAAGUACGGAAAGGUUCCACUAUAAGUAUUUGAAAGCAGAAUACAUAUUAGAUUUUCCAAAACAUUUCAUUUAGACAUUUUAACUAAAGGUAUGACUUAUUGAAUACUUGAUUUUUGUUGAAAAUGUGCCUAUUGAACAGCCAGCCAAACAUUUGAAUGUGUGAAGUUCACAUGCUUGAUGUGGAAAAUCUAACCAAUGAGAAAUAGACAUGUUCGAUAACUUUACAAUUCUUUGCAAAAGUUACCAGCAUUCACUUACCCCAUGUGUUUGCGCGCGUUAUUGAGGCUUUUUUGUAUGUAAAAGUGGAAUCUUUUGCAGCUAUUGUGGCAAAUGAAGGAAUUAUGUGUGAACUUUUGUCACUUUGUUUAAUUUGUUGUCAGGUCCUUAUGUUUGGGGACAGUGCGGAAAGGGUUUCGAUGUCAUAGUUAAUAGAUCGACUUGAAUGCAGAUGAGUCGAACCAUUAUUAAUUGUUACUCCAUUUUAUAUGGUAACUCCCAGGGAGCUAGCUAUGUCAUGUUGAUAAGGAGGAUAGUCUAGAUAUUGAUAUCAUUGGCAUGGUCUACUGAUUAUCAGAUUUUAGCAGUUUUUAUGUAUGACUCCUAAAUCAAGAAGCUUUGUCUUUGCAGAUGGCUACCCAUUCGAGCCUCCAAAAAUGAGAUUUGCCACAAAAGUUUGGUAUGAGAAGCACACAUGCUCUAUCGUUUCUUCCUAUUCUUUCUUCUCCUUUGUAGUAACAGGAGUAAUGCCUGUGCAAAAUUUCAUUUGUUGAACUGCUGGUAUAGGUUGUGAUAUGAAGUAAUAACAAACUGCGGAUUACCUAUUGGAUUAUUAAUGUUUGUAAUUUUGAUCAGCUUCUGUUUCUUAUAUAGAACAUAUUGACAAGUCAUGAUGUCUCUACUUCACAUUCUGUUAAUCGGGCUCAUGAAAUGUGGUCAAACAUCAGAGGAUGAAAACACCUGAUAUCUGAGAAUAAUACAGUACAAAUUUAAAUGAGCGGUGGUAUGUGGUAGGUAAUGAAGGUGAUGAAAGAAUUCUAGAACAAAAAUAUUCCUUCUAUUAAAUCUGAAGUUUAAAAUCAUUUGCUAGAUACUCAACAUUAUUUAGUGGUAUUAACUUAUCCGGAGUUCUAAAAUCAUUAUGCAUCAGUGUCCGUAAAGUAUCCCUGCGUCUCUCAUCUUAAAUAGUGUUAAAAUGUGCUUCCACGGAAAUUGAUUGCCUCUGGCAUACUCCUUAUUUCUUUUUUCCUCUUGAUGAAAGCCUAACUUCACAUUAUUGUUAUUGUCAUGAACCUAUAAUUGAAGCGUUCAAGGUUAACAUCAGCAAGUCCUCCUAUCUAGAUAAGAGUAUAUCUUAUGUAGGAUAUGCUAUGAUGAAACAUGUUUGGUUUAUGCAUUGCUUCCUCUAGGACUUGAGUACACUACUUAACCAUGUUUUUCAAUUUCAUCAAAUAGGUCCAAUAGGUGUCAUCCUUUCACUGUUGAACUAUAAUAUAAUAGCAAGACUUUGUCCAAUCUCUAGCAUCUGCCGAGCUGAGAGAACCACUUGCACACAUUGUAGACGUUGCCUUGAUUUGUUCCGUGCUUUUACUUAAAUAUAUCAAAGUAUCCUGAAAUAGAUUUCUCAGAAAACGAGCAUGACCUUAUCGUUAUCUCUUACAUUUUUUCCGUGCCAUACACUUUGUCCCAGCAUAUGCAAUUAAAAGCUAGUGUUAAUCUAAUCUAUCAUAGAAACUCCUCCAUUUUGCUCCCUUCCUCAAACAGAGCAAAUGAGCUUGUUGUGUACAUUCCAAUAGAGCUUAAAGAUACAAACUUCUCAUUGUAAUUCAACCUACAUUAUCAACAUAGAAUUGACAGCCAAAAAUACCCUUUUCUCUAUACCCAAGCCUCUCUUUUCUCCUCACACCUACGCACCAACCACCAAAAGCAUGAGCAAAGUAAAACUUCUGUGGGUACCAAUUAUAGCAUUUAAAACAAAAAUGCAAGGCAGACAUCCUUGGAGGGUGUGAUAUUUCUACAACAGGAUCUUGGCCUUCCAAAUGACUAACUUUUACAUAGACCUUGAAUACAGUAUCUACUUAAAGUAUCAAAAGUAGUCCCCCUUAAUGUGUGAUAUAAAGUUCCUGUUUCCUGCUUCUUCCAGUGGAAUUAUGAUUCAAGUGCUUUUAUGUGUUGAAUUCCCAUUGAAGGCAUCCCAAUAUAAGUAGCCAAAGUGGAGCAAUAUGCCUAGACAUCCUGAAAGACCAGUGGAGCCCAGCGCUGACUCUCAAGACAGCUCUCCUUUCUAUACAAGCAUUACUCUUUGCUCCUGAACCUGAUGAUCCACAAGAUGCAGUUGUUGCACAACAGGUGCUUCAUAUAUUCUGUAAUAAUCCCCCUCCUGCUCCCCCUACCGCAUCAUAAUCUUGUAUGCUUGCUUAGUUUUCAUGUUGCUGACCUUGUUUUGUAUCUCGCGCCCUCUUCCCGGCCAAAUAUUUGUUUUCAAAUGGUCAAUCUGUUUCUUGUUGCAGUAUCUCAGAGACCAUCAGACCUUUGUUGGCACAGCUCGUUACUGGACUGAAACAUUUGCGAAAACACUUGGCACCGAGGAGAAGGUGUGCAAUUCUUACAUGUUUUUGCUUUCCUUUUUGUUUUUAAUUUCCUCCCACUACUUAGUCUUGGGUGGUACAUCUUGCGUUUUCCAAAUAUGCUACUGAAUGAGUAAUUUGAAUGCCGCAGAUACAAAAGCUUGUGGAAAUGGGGUUUCCUGAAGCUCAAGUGAGGAGUACUUUGGAAGGGACAGGUUGGGAUGAAAACAUGGCACUUGAAAAGCUGUGCUCUGGCUAGCACCUUUCAUACUGCAACUCAUGUUUUGGAUGUAGAAGAUUAUAUCCUGCCAUCAAAAGUUGAAUGACCAAGAAAAGUCAUUCAAUUAUACUGUUACUUGGGCAACCUUUUUUUGGUAUCGUUUAUGGUUUGGGGUCGACAUAUCGUUGAAUGACCAAAAAGUCAUUCAUUCAUACUGUUACUUGGGCAACCUCGUUUUGGUUUGGGGUCGACAUAUCGUCACAACUCGUAAACAUUCUGAUGUCAUUUUACAAUAUCAAGCAAAUUGCAUAUUAGUUUAUGAUAGGAAGUGCAUUUGCAUAUUAGCUUACAUCAUGCUUUCUUCUUUUGUAAACUAAUUCUGCAAAGUUAAUAUAUUACAUUUUUGGCCAUAACCUGUUAUUCCCUGAUACUUGGAUACAACUGCAUCGCAUCUUUCUCCUAUAGAACUGCAUUGCAUCUUUCUCCUUUCUUACAGAUCAAUUUUUUUUUUCUAUUUCAAUCCUGUCGUCUUGUUGCAG